rnacentral:rRNA from 1 species
AUACGGAGGGUGCAAGCGUUGUUCGGAAUCACAGGGCGUAAAGGGCGCGCAGGCGGUUUGAUAAGUCAGAUGUGAAAGCCCACGGCUCAACCGUGGAAGUGCAUUUGAAACUGUCAGACUUGAGUACUAGAGGGGAAAGUGGAAUUCUCGGUGUAGAGGUGAAAUUCGUAGAUAUCGGGAGGAAUACCGGUGGCGAAGGCGACUUUCUGGCUAGAUACUGACGCUGAGGCGCGAAAGCGUGGGGAGCAAACAGGAUUAGAUACCCUAGUAGUCC